UCAGUUCAGGUCCAUUUUUUCUGGCAAAAACAUAAAUAUAUAUAACAUUGAUACGACUAAUACUGGGAUUUCUACGCUGGAAGUUUGUACUUCAUCUAUGUGUGAGCAAAACAAGAAAUAACACUUUCUAUAUGUUAUGAUUUAGAACGAUUUUCCUGGUUUACCUUCAUUAUGAACACUACAGGCAAAUUUAAGAAUUUUCAAAAGGGACAACAAAUUUAUACACAAAUCCUGUAAUGUCAUCUUUAUCUGAGGGAGUUUAAACCUAAGUUACUUACCAAAGUAAUAAAAGACGGUUUAUUAAUUUGAAGGAUCGAUUCAAUAUUUCAGUUCAUAGACUCUCAAAUAUCAAUUGCCUUAUUUUACGAUUACAACUAGCAACAACCCACGGCAACCGCUAAAUUACAGGCUCAUGACUAGGGAUAGGCACAUUUAAAACAUGUUUGAGGGCAAUCAAAUCUUUACCUUACCUAGACAGUAGUGUGACAGCACAACAAAAGAUCAAACUGUAAAAAUCAUUAAAAAAUGGUUUGUCUCAUCAGAUCGGAGCAAAAACAACAACAUUAUAAAGACAAAAAAUAAACUUAUUCAUUGUUCAUUGUAACAUCAAACGUUGAUUAUUUUUCUAACCUCUUGAAGUUUAUAACACUUAUUCCGUGUAUAACUUAUUGAUGAUUCUUCCUCAAUUCCUUUAGCAUUUUUAGUAAUUAAACAUACAUUAUUCAUGCAUUUUUUAUUUGAAAUCUAAAUUCCGAUUUAAUAUCACAUAUAAUGUCUUUGCAGGCUGUGACAAUAUAUUAUGUAUAUCAUAUAGAUAAAGGAAGAUGUGGUAUGAGUGCCAACUAUCCAUCCAAAUAAUAAUUUAUAAAAAUAAACCAUAAUAGGUCAAGGUACGGCUUUCAACAUGGAGCAUUGGCUCACACCGAACAACAAGCUAUAAAGUGCCCCACAAUUAUUAGUAUAAAACCAUUCAAACGGGAAAACCAACGGUUUAAUCUACAUAAAAAAACGAGAAACGAGAAACACGUAUAAAUUACAUAACACAAACGACAACUACUGUUCACCAGAUUCCUAACUUAGGACAGGUGCAAACAUUUGCAGCUGGAUAAAGCGUUUUAAUGGCACCAAACCUUCUCCCUUUUCUAAAACAAUAGUUUACUAUCACAACAUAGAAAAACACACGAUAAAUAUCAAUUCGAAUGCCCUUUCCUCGAUCUUGAUAUCUAUAUCACUAACGGAAAGCUUAAUACUAAAAUUUAUGAUAAAAGAGAUGAUUUCUCAUUUCCUAUCGUUAAUUAUCCAUUUUUAGAUGGUGAUGUUCCCUUGUCACCAUCUUACGGUAUUUAUAUAUGUCAACUUGUACGAUUCGCUCGUGUAUGUAACAAUGUUUUAGAUUUUAACAAGAGAAAUUUAUGUAUUACUGAAAAAUUAUUACACCAGGGUUUUCGAUAUCACAAACUAGUCAAAACAUUUACUAAAUUUUAUCGUCGGUAUAAGGACAUCAUUCGUAAAUAUAGCUCAACAUACAGACUUCUUAUACGUUCAGGUAUUUCACAUCCAAGUUUUAUGGAAAUAUUCUUUAUAAAGCACAAAAAUGUCAGUAUUUACCUCAGAAACUAACAAAACCUUUAAAUAGACUUAUUAAGAAUGGAUACAGUAACGAUACUGUUGUCAGGUCAUUAAAGAUUGCAUAUUUUGGCGUUAAUAUUGAUUCACUUAUAAGGUCUUUGCAUCGGAACUAAACACAUUUAUUCAAAACCCAGGACAGGUGCAAACAUUUGCAGCUGGAUAAAGCGUUUUAAUGGCACCAAACCUUCUCCCUUUUCUAAAACAAUAGUUUACUAUCACAACAUAGAAAAACACACGAUAAAUAUCAAUUCGAAUGCCCUUUCCUCGAUCUUGAUAUCUAUAUCACUAACGGAAAGCUUAAUACUAAAAUUUAUGAUAAAAGAGAUGAUUUCUCAUUUCCUAUCGUUAAUUAUCCAUUUUUAGAUGGUGAUGUUCCCUUGUCACCAUCUUACGGUAUUUAUAUAUGUCAACUUGUACGAUUCGCUCGUGUAUGUAACAAUGUUUUAGAUUUUAACAAGAGAAAAUUUAUGUAUUACUGAAAAAUUAUUACACCAGGGUUUUCGAUAUCACAAACUAGUCAAAACAUUUACUAAAUUUUAUCAUCGGUAUAAGGACAUCAUUCGUAAAUAUAGCUCAACAUACAGACUUCUUAUACGUUCAGGUAUUUCACAUCCAAGUUUUAUGGAAAUAUUCUUUAUAAAGCACAAAAAUUCAGUAUUACCUCAGAAACUAACAAAACCUUUAAAUAGACUUAUUAAGAAAUGGAUACAGUAACGAUACUGUUGUCAGGUCAUUAAAGAUUGCAUAUUUUGGCCGUUAAUAUUGAUUCACUUAUAAGGUCUUUGCAUCGGAACUAAACACAUUUAUUCAAAACCCAGUUGUUGGCAUGACACGGGUUAUGUUCUUCUUAUAUAUGUUAUGAUGGUAUGAUACUAAACCCCUAACGGGAAGGAUUGUGCCUGAUAUCCAUAUGAUGAAAUCUUAAUCUUUCAAUCAGUUUAUUUGAAAUCUGGAGCUGGCAUGUCAGUUAACUGCUAGUAGUCUGUUGUUAUUUAUGUAUUAUUGUUUUUAUGGCCCCGCAACGAAGUUGUCGGUGCCAUAUAGUUUUACCCUUGUCCGAAAUUCCGUAAUUCCGAUAUUCCGUAAUUCCGUCAUUCUGUCAUUCCGCAACAAACCAUUAUACGGAGUUUUUUUGCUAAAUGCCUUCAGAUAUUGGGCUGAUUUUUGGUAUGUGAGUUAACCAUGAUGAGUUACAAAUCAGGGUUAGGGUUUCCGCUCCACUAAUUUUUGCCGAAAUUACGGGUUUUGGACUUUGAGAAAUUGUUGAAAAUCACAGUUAUACGGACUUUUUUCUAAACGUUUUCAGAUAUUGGUCUGAUUUUUGAUAUGUAAGUUAACCAUGGUGAGUUACAGAUCAAGUUUAAGUUUCGUUCUGCUCCACUAAUUUUUGCCGAAAUUACGGGCUUUGGACUUUGAUAAAUUAUUGGAAAUCACAUUUAUAUGGAUUUUUUCUCUAUUCCCCUCCAAAUUUUGAGCUGAUUUUUAUAUGUGAGACUACCAUCAUGUUUGUGUCCGCAUCUGUUUGUAUUGAAAUUGUAGAUUUUUCAACUUUUUGGGACGGGGCCAUUCGUGUCGCUUUGACACAUCUAGUUUUGUUUAUUUUCUUUGGUUACAUCUCCUGACAUCAGACUUGGACUUCUCUUGAACUGAAUUUUAACGUGCGUGUUGUUAUACGUUUACUUUUCUACAUUGGCUAGAGGUACAGGGGGAGAGUUGAGAUCUCAUCAACAUGUUUAACCCCGCCGCAUCUUUGCGCCUGUCCCAAGUCAGGAGCCUCUGGCCUUUGUUAGUCUUGUAUUAUUUAAUUUUAGUUUCUUGUGUACAAUUUGGAAAUUAGUAUGGUGUUCAUUAUCACUGAACUAGUAUAUAUUUGUUUAGGUGCCAGUCGAAGGACGCCUCCGGUAGCGAUAAUUUCUCGCUACAUUGAAGACCUGUUGGUGACCUUCUGCUGUUAUUUUUCUAUGGUCGGUUGUUAUCUCUUUGACACAUUCCCCAUUUCCAUUCUCAAUUUUAUUAACUCAACCAAACAAUGCCUUUCAGCUUAAAAUAUAUCUUAAUAAUACGUGUAUGUUUUUUGCCAUGGGAUUUCCAUGUUAACGGUGAUAUCUCGUCUAAAAUGAGCUUAUUGCAAAUUGAUCCAGUACAAAUGGAGAUAAUCCACCGUGUCCUGUUAUGACAUAUUUGUUGAGAUAAACGUUUUUGUUUUUCAUUGAAAAUUUGCCCGAGUAGUAUUCGAUGGCGACCAUUUCAACAACGUACACAUCAAUUUAACAGCUUAUUUAAACACAAAUUUCAAUAAUAAAUCAGAUCUUUAUAUAUAUAUAUAAAAAAAAAAACAAUGAGAAAAAGCCCAUACCGUAUUGUCUGCUAUAAAUGGCCCCGACAUGAGAAAACUAUCGGCCUUAUUCAUAAGUUAUGCUUUUUUUUUAGAAUUUGUUUAUUUCUAAAUAUUGUACUUUUAUAAUUUAAAUUUAGAAUAAAGUAUGCUUAAUAUUAUU
rnacentral:lncRNA from 1 species